GCAGAACACAAGAAUGACAGCAAAAAGAGGAAUCCAAAAUCGGGAUUAGCAGUGCACACGAUCGAAGAAGGCCAUGUCUUUGAUUUCGAAAAAACGACUGUUUUGGAACGCAUCGAGAACCCAGAGACCAGGAUGAUCGCAGAGGUCUUCCAUAUCAAAAAGCAGGGAGAAAGAGAGACCGUAAACCUGCAACGUGAGUGCGGUAAUUUCAACUCCACGUACAAUGGUCUAUUGGCGAGACUGCGUGGAGAGCCACAUACACGGACGACUGAGAGAGGAAACAUUGACGAAAAUGAAACUGGGUGAUGAGCAAGGUGCGCUCGUUAAUUGGGGUUUUGGGAAAACCAUUAGUAUAGUUGUGACAGACCAAGCUGUAAGGUUGCGUUCAGCAUGUUGCGUCUGAUGAGGGCUGAAGUGAAGUAAGCCGAAACGCGUAACGCAAAAUAUGCUGUUUUUGUCUGUUGUCACCGAGAAAAGCCAAUAUAUAAUAUUAAAUA